rnacentral:rRNA from 1 species
GUGUAAAACCAUACCACUAUGAGAAUGUCUGAUUUGAUCUCGUCUUAUCUCAAGCAGAGUUGGGUCUGGUUAGUAGUUGGAUGGGCAAUUGCUGGGAAUACCUGGUGCCACA